GUCACUGCAACCCUGCCGUCAAUGGAUGCACAAUCGUCGGCCCGGAAAUCAAACACUGCCAAAAAUUAGGCGUCAAAGUAAUGUUGUCUAUUGGCGGUGGUGUUGGAAAUUACUCAUUAGCUUCGAAAAAAGACGCUAAGGACGUUGCGAAGUACCUAUGGAACAAUUUCUUAGGUGGGCGUUCCUCUUUUAGGCCUUUGGGAAAUGCUAUUCUCGAUGGAAUUGACUUUGAUAUUGAGCUUGGAUCGCCUCUUCACUACGAAGACCUAGCUAAAUAUUUGAAAAAUUACAGCAAGCGUGGAAGAAAAAUGUACCUUACAGCAGCUCCACAAUGUCCAUUUCCCGAUAGAUUGCUUGGUACUGCCUUGAAUACAAAGCUUUUUGAUAAUGUUUGGAUUCAAUUUUACAAUAAUCCUCCGUGCCAGUUCACUCCUAAUAAUACGGAUAAUCUGAAAAAUUCUUGGAUCCGGUGGACGACGUCGGUGAAAGCGAAAAGGAUAUUUUUGGGGCUUCCGGCUGCACCGCAGGCUGCCGGAAGUGGAUUUAUUCCGGCGGAUGUGUUGACGGAGGAAAUUCUUCCGGCGAUUAAGAAAUCACGCAAGUAUGGAGGUG
rnacentral:misc_RNA from 1 species